AAUCAACGCUGGCGGCGUGCCUAACACAUGCAAGUCGAACGCGAAAGGGGCUUCGGCCCUGAGUAGAGUGGCGAACGGGUGAGUAACACGUGGGUGAUCUACCUUCGAGUGGGGGAUAACGUCCCGAAAGGGACGCUAAUACCGCAUGACGUUCUGGGUUUAAAGACCUGGAAACCAAAGCCGGGGACCGCGAAGGCCUGGCGCUUGGAGAGGAGCCCGCGUCCGAUUAGCUAGUUGGCGGGGUAAUGGCCCACCAAGGCGACGACGGGUAGCCGGCCUGAGGA
rnacentral:rRNA from 1 species